UACGGAGGGGGCUAGCGUUGUUCGGAAUUACUGGGCGUAAAGCGCGCGUAGGCGGACCUGCAAGUCGGGGGUGAAAGCCCGAGGCUCAACCUCGGAACUGCCUUCGAUACUGCGGGUCUCGAGUCCGGGAGAGGUGAGUGGAAUUCCUAGUGUAGAGGUGAAAUUCGUAGAUAUUAGGAAGAACACCAGUGGGCGAAGGCGGCUCA
rnacentral:rRNA from 1 species